rnacentral:tRNA from 1 species
GCCGAGCUGGCACCCGGAGCGCUGCGCGGGCUGCGGAUCCUCGUCGGUGGUGAGCCGCUACCCGGCCCGCUCGCUCGGCGCCUGCGCUCGACC